UUUUUUUUUUUUUUUUUCUUUUUGAGACGGAGUCUCCCUAUGUUGCCCAGGCUGGUCUCAAACUCCUGAACUCUAGGGAUCCUCCCACCUCAGCCUCCCAGUGGGCUGGAAUUUCAGUUGUGAGUCACCAUGCCCAGCCUUAAUUUCUUCCUUUCCUUCCCUUCCCCUUCCCCUUUCCCUUUUUCUUUUCUGCCUGCCUUCUUUUCUUCUUUCUUUUUUCACAGUCUUGUUCUGUCACCCAGGAUGGAGUGUGGUGACACAAUCUCAGCUCACUGCAACCUCCACCUCCCGGGUUCAAGUGAGUCCCCAGCCUCAGCCUCGCAAGUAACUGGGACUACAGGCGCACACCACCACACCCGGCUAUUUUUGGUAUUUUUUAGGAGAGACAGGGGGUUUCACCACGUUGGCCAGGCUGGUCUCAAACUCCUGGGCUAAAAUGAUCCACCCGCCUCGGCCUCCCAAAGUGGUGGGAUUACAGGUGUGAGCCACUGGUCCCAGCUCAGCCUUAAUGUUUUCUUUUUCAUAAAUAUAUUCAUCAAUCUAAUUCGUGUAAUCAUCUCUUUGAUGGCUGUGAAGCUCUUUGUUGGCUGAGCAUAGAUUUACCUUUUAAUAAUUUGUUUCUGCAUCUGAGCAGGUAAAAACUGUUCUGGUCUACCCUCACUGAGGCUGUGUGGAGGAAAUGGUGAAUGUUUCCUCCUCUUUCCUCUCACCUCUGAGCCCACUAUUGUCCCCCUGGUCAACCACCUUUUCUCUGGCCUCAACACCAAGCAAAGGGGUGAGUGAAUAUCAGCCUGGUGAGCAGCUCAAGCAAUUCUGCAGCUAACAGAAGGCCACCUCCUCAUUCUUUGACCCCUUCCUGUGACAGAGACUCCCUGAGGUCCACAGCCGGGCUCUGCCUCAUGAGGAACAGAGCCAUGGAGAUAAAUGGGAGGGGUCCUUGGCUCAGAGGCGAGGAGUGGGGGAGGGGAGGAGGCCAACAAUCAAUGAAAAUAGUCAGCAUUGGGCGGGAUUGAUCUGGAGUGAGGAAUUAAUAGAGCAAAUCACUGCUGGGCCUGCUUAGCUGUGACUAAGCAGAGACUUCCCUGACUUCAUUGCUGCCUGAGUUGAGCAGCAGCCAGGAGGGAGGUGGGGACAACAGGGAGACCUAAAGAAGAAAUGGGGGGCAGGAAGCUCCAGGAGACAGGGCCGGCCAGGGCCAGGGGCUCUUGACUCCAGCUUGGUUCCCCAGAGGGUAGGUCUUGGGGGCCCUGGGGGACCAACUGGGAUACUUGGUAAAUGGAGCACUGGGGGGUAAGAGACAGGGAGAGGGAGAGCCCUGGCACUUGUUCCAACCCAAAGAAGCCCUCUGUUGUUUUCCCUCUAGAAAACAAACUAGUUUGUUUUAAAAAAUAAACUUUUUUUUUUGAGACAGAGUCUUACUCCAUCGCCCAGGCUGGAGUGCAGUGGCACGAUCUUGGCUCACUGCAACCUCUGCCUCCCGGGUUCAAGGGAUUCUCCCACCUCAGCCUCCCAAAUAAUUGGGAUUACAGGCACCCGCCACCACGCCCAGCUAAUUUUUGUAUUUUUAGUAGAGACAGGGUUUUGCCGUGUUGCCCAGGCUGGUCUCAAACUCCUGACCUCAAAUGAUCCACCUGCUUCAGCCUUCCAAAGUGCUGGGAUUACAGGCGUGAACCACCACACCCGGCCUAAAAGCAAGCUUUAUUUUUACAAUUUUAGAUUUACAAAAAAAAUUGUGAAGAUAGUACAGAGUUCCCAGGUCCAUAGUACAGAGACCUCAUAACCCCCUGCUGUAGUUUGAAUGUGUUCCUCCACGUUCAUGUGUUGGAAACACAAUCUGCAGUGCGACAGUGUUAGUAGGUGGGUCCUAAUAGCUGAUGAGGUCAUAAGGGAGAAUGGAUUAACAUUAUCAUGGUAGUAGGCCUGUUAUAAAAGCAAAGUCGGCCCCCUCUUGUUCUCUAACACAUGCUCUUGUGCCCUUUUAUCUCCCACCAUGUUAUGAUGCAGUAAGAAGACACUCACCAAAUGCAGUCCCUCAACCUUGGACUUUCCAGCCUCCAGAACUGAGCUGGAGAUUUCCCACAUGUGCCCCUCAGGGUCCUGGUCUGCGAGGACCACAUCUGGGUCCAAUCCAGGGUAUUAGGACUGCUGACCUCCUGUCAUUCUCCUUCGCUGAUGGGCUGCCAGAAACCUCAUCCACGAGGGAGUUCGCAUCUAAGCCAAUUUGAAACAAUCUUACGAGAUUUCUUGAGCCCAAAUCUCAAAUACAGCCUAUCUCAUCUGCUCACCCCGCUCUCUCAUCUCGUAAUUCCAUCCAUCACAUCAUCAAGUCGGUGGGUCACAGCUGUCUGUAGACAAUUUCAUAUGGUCUUCCUCGAGCUGUUUCUCUUUGACUCUCCUUCCCUUUGACACGGAUUUAGCAUAAUCUGUCUGGCUUUCAACUCCAGAUACUGUUACCUCUUUCGUUUGUUGUUGUUUAGGUUGAGGGUAAGAUGUGGAAGGGCACAGGUGUGCACAAAAGGAAGGGAGUUCUCUUGGGGGCCAAGGUGGGCUGUGAGCUUCCGCAGAGGGCCGUAGGAAACAGGGUUAUCAGUAAGUCAGUACCAAGGAGAGAGGCAAAUGCCGACUACUAUGUGGGGAGUAGGAGGGAGUCAGAGGUAAGAACUAUGGAUCGUUGGGACAUUUAGGUUGUGUCGAUCAUGGAGGCCAAUCCCAUGUCACAGUGAUUAAUGUCAUUGAAGGGUGGUAUCGGCUCAGUGGAGAGAUGUAGGCCACUUGUACCUCUACAAUUAGAGUAAUUUUUUAAAAAAGGAACCCAGUAAUUUUGACCUAAAAUAUCAACUUGUAGAUUUACUUUUUUUUUUUUUCGAGACAGGGUCUUGCUCUGUUGCCCAGGUUGGAGUGCAAUGGCAUGAUCUCGGCUCACUGCACCCUCCACCUCCCGGGUUUAAGCAAUCCCCCUGCCUCAGCCUCCUGAGUAGCUGGGAUUACAGGAGUGUGCCUCCACCCCUGGCUAAUUUUUAUAUUUUUAGUAGACACAGGGUUUCACCAUGUUAGCCAGGCUGGUCUCGAACUCCUGACCUCAAGUGAUCUGCCCACCUCGGCCCCCCAAAGUGCUGAGAUUACAGGCAUGAGCCAUUUCACCCAGCCGUAGAUUUACUUUUUAUGCCACCCAUACACAGGGAACACAAACCAUUCCCCACCCACAGUGGACUCCUGGAUUUCUCCCCUACUAUUUUUAAGUCAAUUUUAUUCUUACUUGUAUCUUUACAGAAAAUGGCACAGAAAUCACAGGUUUCGAAUACCUAGAAGUUAUUACAGUUCCAUAUUUCAAACACCUCAAUAUCAAGUUUCUUUCUUCUCACUCUAUGUACAUUAUUUACACACCAGGAGCUAUAGUCUAACACUUCAAACCAACAGGGACAAAGACAAGAAGAACCGGACUAGGGGGAGGGAAGUUCCAUAAAUGGAAUGAAGAAGAAAUCAACUUUUGAUAUGGAAUUAAAGUUGCAACGCAUUGUCUCAGGCCAUUUUCUAACGAGGUAUUCCCUGCAAAGGUGGGUGGGGUGGUGGAUAGGUGGAUGGGGUCGGGAGCCUGGCCUGGGAAUCUGGAUCGGGCAGGUCAACAGGGCUAUGUGCUCCCAUUGUUCAUGCGAAUGGAAAAGGCCAGGCCGGAGAGGUCACCAUACACAGGUCCACCCAUCAGCCGGCAGAAAGAAGCCCCGGCUCCUUAUUCCAUCAUGGUUACCGUGUUUUAGUCUAGUGAACGUGCUUCCUGGCAUGCACUGGCAUGAAGGCGUGUGUGCCUGUAGCUUAGCUUGGGCUUACUCCUGGCCUUCUGCCUUGCUUUCCUUCCAGCCUUUUUCCCAUCCUUCUGAACAGGUCAAAGGCUUGCUCUGAGAGGUGCUCAGC
rnacentral:lncRNA from 1 species